rnacentral:rRNA from 1 species
UACGGAGGGUGCAAGCGUUAUCCGGAUUCACUGGGUUUAAAGGGGUGUGUAGGCGGGUGUUUAAGUCAGUGGUGAAAUCUCCAGGCUCAACCUGGAAACUGCCAUUGAUACUAUUCAUCUUGAAUUCUGUUGAGGUGGGCGGAAUAUAUCGAUGUAGCGGUGAAAUGCUUAGAUAUGAUAUAGAAGCACCGAUUGCGAAGGCAGCUCACUAA